AACGAACGCUGGCGGCAGGCUUAACACAUGCAAGUCGAGCGCCCCGCAAGGGGAGCGGCAGCCUGGUGAGUAACGCGUGGGAACGUACCUUUUGGUUCGGCACAACCUCGGGAAACUGGAGCUAAUACCGGAUAAGCCCUAACGGGGAAAGAUUUAUCGCCGAAAGAUCGGCCCGCGGCUGAUUAGCUCCUUGGUGAGGUAACGGCUCACCAAGGCGACGAUCAGUAGCUGGUCUGAGAGGAUGAUCAGCCACACUGGGACUGAGACACGGCCCAGACUCCUACGGGAGGCAGCAGUGGGGAAUAUUGGACAAUGGGCGCAAGCCUGAUCCAGCCAUGCCGGGUGAGUGAUGAAGGCCUUAGGGUUGUAAAGCUCUUUUGUCCGGGAAGAUAAUGACUGUACCGGAAGAAUAAGCCCCGGCUAACUUCGUG
rnacentral:rRNA from 1 species